rnacentral:rRNA from 1 species
UAGGGAAUCUUCGGCAAUGGACGAAAGCCUGACCGAGCAACGCCGCGUGAGUGAAGAAGGUUUUCUGAUCUUAAAACUCUGUUGUUAGGGAAGAACAAGGACGUUAGUAACUGAACGUCACCUGCCGGUAUCUAACCAGAAAGCCACGGCUAACUACGUGCCAGCAGCCGCGGUAAUACGUAGAUGGCAAGCGUUGUCCGGAUUUAUUGGGCGUAAAGCGAGCGCAGGCGGUUUCUUAAGUCUGAUGUGAAAGCCCCCGGCUCAACCGGGGAGGGUCAAUGGAAACUGGGGGACUUGAGUGCAGAAGAGGAGAGUGGAAUUCCAUGUGUAGCGGUGAAAUGCGUAGAUAUAUGGAGGAACACCAGUGGCGAAGGCGGCUCUCUGGUCUGUAACUGACGCUGAGGCUCGAAAGCGUGGGGAGCAAACAGG